rnacentral:rRNA from 1 species
ACGAACGCUGGCGGCGUGCUUAACACAUGCAAGUCGAACGGAAAGGCCCUGCUUUUGUGGGGUGCUCGAGUGGCGAACGGGUGAGUAACACGUGAGUAACCUGCCCUUGACUUUGGGAUAACUUCAGGAAACUGGGGCUAAUACCGGAUAGGAGCUCCUGCUGCAUGGUUGGGGUUGGAAAGUUUCGGCGGUUGGGGAUGGACUCGCGGCUUAUCAGCUUGUUGGUGGGGUAGUGGCUUACCAAGGCUUUGACGGGUAGCCGGCCUGAGAGGGUGACCGGCCACAUUGGGACUGAGAUACGGCCCAGACUCCUACGGGAGGCAGCAGUGGGGAAUAUUGCACAAUGGGCGGAAGCCUGAUGCAGCAACGCCGCGUGCGGGAUGACGGCCUUCGGGUUGUAAACCGCUUUCGCCUGUGACGAAGCGUGAGUGACGGUAAUGGGUAAAGAAGCACCGGCUAACUACGUG